rnacentral:rRNA from 1 species
UACGGAGGGUGCAAGCGUUAUCCGGAUUCACUGGGCUUAAAGGGUGCGUAGGUGGAUCGGUAAGUCCGUGGUGAAAUCCCCGAGCUUAACUCGGGAACUGCCGUGGAUACUAUCGAUCUUGAAUACUGUGGAGGUAAGCGGAAUAUGUCAUGUAGCGGUGAAAUGCUUAGAUAUGACAUAGAACACCGAUAGCGAAGGCAGCUUGCUGCGCAGUCAUUGACACUGAGGCACGAAAGCGUGGGGAGCAAACAGG